rnacentral:rRNA from 2 species
CAGGUAGGAAUACCCGCUGAACUU